AAUUUUGGACAAUGGGGGAAACCUUGAUCCAGCAUUGCCGCGUGCAGGAUGAAGGCCUUCGGGUUGUAAACUGCUUUUGUACGGAACGAAAAGUCUUGGGCUAAUACCCUGGGAUCAUGACGGUACCGUAUGAAUAAGGACCGGCUAACUACGUGCCAGCAACCGUGGUAAUACGUAAGGUGCAAGCGUUAAUCGGAAUUACUGGGUGUAAAGCGUGCUCAGGCGGUUUUGUAAGACAGUGGUGAAAUCCCCGGGCUCAACCUGGGAACUGCCAUUGUGACUGCAAGGCUGGAGUGCGGCAGAGGGGGAUUGAAUUCCGCGUGUAGCAGUGAAAUGCGUAGAUAUGCGGAGGAACACCGAUGGCGAAGGCAAUCCCCUGGGCCUGCACUGACGCUCAUGCACGAAAGCGUGGGGAGCAAACAGG
rnacentral:rRNA from 1 species